AGGAAACAGGUGCAGAAACAGAUGGUGUGUUUCUCCAGGGUGCUUAUCUUCCGUGGGAUGACUCAGUAAUCCACGCUGCUUUGAUUUUGUGGCUCCACUGUCUCAAUGUUCAGCAUUCACAGUCUCUGCUCUCUCUGUGGAGGGGGAAGUGCAGCCCGCCGACAACUCAGACCUACUCUCAUGCUGCUUCUGCUCACAGCCCCAUUGGGCCAGAACUGGUCACGCAGUCCUGCCUGACUGCAAGACUGUGUGCCCAGGAAGAGGGGGAGAAGUGGAUACUGGUGAUCACAAGUAAUGUCUACGACAGUGACAACAAGAAGAAGACUGUGGUCAAAUAAGUUUGGAAAACCCCAGGUUGACUGAAAUUCUACAAAUCUCCUCAUGUUAGGAAUUCUCAAUGCCUUUACUCCACUGACGUUGUUGUGAAUGACCAAAAUCGAGACAUUGUGGGCCAUCUGUCUUUCCUACGGUUAUACAUGUCUCUCUCACUUAAGGACCAUAGCUCUCCAGAGCACACUUGGGAGAUACUCUUUGCUGUCUCUCUCUGAGGACCAGGUUUUCCCUGCACAGGGUCCAGGAUUCAGAUACCUUAGGGUGAGCAAAACAAAUAAAAUUUUUCUCUAGAGAUUUAUCUCUGUCUAGGAGUCCCAUAGGUUAAAUAAGCCCUGCACAAUGCCCAAAGCCAGGGUGCCAGCCUGUAUACAGCUGGGUGUAAAACAGGUAGGCCCCACACUUCAGAGUAAGUACAAGACAAUUGUCUUCAAAACAGCUAGCCUCCUUUUUUUGUACUCUUCAUGAUUUAGUGACAUCUAUUUCAGUUCAGCCAUCCUGAUUUCUACUUUAUUUUUUUCUCUCCUGGUAAAACCUAGAGGAACUGGGCUUCAACUCAAUGGUACUGAGUUGUCACUUUGACCAGGUACAGUUUUCAAGCAAGGAGUUUCAGGCACAUGGCACAGUUUGCAGGAGUGGUGUGGGAAGGGGAGUGGACGGUAGUGUGGGGGAGUAAAGGCAAAGAGGACAUGUAUUUUCCUUGAAAUGGAAGCCACCAAGGCUUGCCUUGGAGGUUGCUAUGGACUGAACCGUGUCCUCUCAAAAUUCAUAGGUUGAAGUCCUAACCCUUAAUGUGACUGUAUUUGGAGAUAAUUAAUGUUAAGUAAGUUCAUAAGGGGUGGAAGGCUAGUCCAAUAGGGUUGAUGGCCUUAGGAGAAGAAGAGCUCUCUCUCUCUCUCUCUUACUCUCUCACUCUCUCACUCUUUUGCUCUCUCUUGGUCUUUCUCCCAGCUGUGCUGAGAGGACAGGCCAGGUAAGGACUGCAGUCCAUGGGGAGAGUCCUCACCAGAAUCUAAACCCUGCUGGAUCCUCAUCUGGGACUUCCAGCCUCCAGAUCUGUGGGAAAUAAGUUUCUGUUGUUUAAGCCACCCAGUCUGUGGUAUUUUGAUAGGGCAGCCCAAGCAGACUACAACAGAGGUCAAUCCAGUUUUACUUCCUUCCGAAAGGUGGGAAAUUUGGUUCUGUGGUGCUGUCAGAGGCGACAUCCUUCAGCUGCUGCAGACUGAAUUAUUUGUGAUUCAGUGGCCCUGGCUUCAUCCAAGUUCAGUUGCAGGAUCAAACCCACAUUGCCUAAGCUCCAGUCCACUCUGAUUCACAUUUCCCAACAUGAAGAAGUGGCCACCAUCCCCAUCACUUCAACAGUGGGGCAAGAGUUCGAGAGAAUGGAGCUGGAUGUGGUGCAGAGGCUGCAGUGGAGGGAAUUCACAAGUGAACUGCACCUAAAGGUCAAGGUGAGGAAAGGACUCAGAAGAAAAGAGUUUCUUAAAAGUUGGGAAUAAAAUUUGAACCUCGUAAUAAGGCACAUGAGGUUUUCAGGGUGCCUGCACACUGAGCUUACACUUUAUCAGGGAAGUUGUCAACACUGAUUAUAGAUGUUGAAGUAUUUAAAAACUUAGAAGAGAAAAUUGAUGAAAGAUUUAUUUGGUUAUAUGAAAAUAGUACUGAGAAACAUCGUUUAUAUGGUUACUUAGCACUUAUGCCUUUUCUAUGCCAUGCACCAAAAUAAAUAUUAUGCAACUCAUCAAACUGGUGUCAAAUUAACUGUGCAAGCUUCCUUGAUUAAACUUCACAGUUAGAGUCUCAUGGUUCACAAUUUUAAAAAUUGGAGUGAACAUUGACGUGUAUCGUUCAUUUUGUCACUGACUCACAGUGUUUUGUCUUGCAAGUUUUGCGAGUAUAGCAUUUGUUUUGUCUUCCCAGAUACACCAGAAGUGAGCUAACACAAAGUUAUAGCCGCCUUUUCUAUUUCCACCCACUACCUAGCAGACUGUUGAUAAAUAUAUGUUGAAUAAACAAAACACGUAUAACAAAAUUAAUUUUAUAUUUGUACUUAGUUUAUUUUAUCAAUAUGAUUUUGAAAUCCACCUUUAAAUGUCAAAAUAGAAUUUUUUUAAUAGAAAUAUUUUUUUAAUCAAAG
ensembl:lncRNA